UACGGUGGGUGCGAGCGUUGUCCGGAAUCACUGGGCGUAAAGGGCUCGUAGGCGGCCAACUAAGUCAGACGUGAAAUCCCUCGGCUUAACCGGGGAACUGCGUCUGAUACUGGAUGGCUUGAGGUUGGGAGAGGGAUGCGGAAUUCCCGGUGUAGAGGUGAAAUUCGUAGAUAUCGGGAGGAACACCUGUGGCGAAGGCGGCCAUCUGGACGUCAACUGACGCUGAGACGCGAAAGCAUGGGGAGCAAACAGG
rnacentral:rRNA from 1 species